UCCCUAAACGACGCUCUUUGUCUGGCUUAAACAUGCUGGUCAAGCAAAAAACUGCUGGUAAUUGCUGUAACACUUGUUGCACUGCUG